rnacentral:lncRNA from 1 species
AAGGAAUGUUUCGUAACUUUCAUUAACCAAAGAUAAAAAGGUGUUUGGAGAAGGGAUUCCAAAUGGAUAAAUCUAGAACAUGGUAAGCACGCAGAAGAUGAUGCAAAAGGAAACAAGUGGCUAAAAUCAGAGUGAAUAGUCUUCCCAGGAAAAGCUAGCCUUCCACACAGUUUGCUUUGUGUAUUCUCUUUAUUGGCUGAUAACUGAUGUAUGGGAUGGUUUUCCUUUUACAAAUAAAAAC